AAACCAAUUACAGGCUAGUGAUUUUGCAUUCAAUGGAAUAAUUACUCUUGAAAGCUGGCAGCGUGGGUGAAACUUGCUCCCAGCCUUAAUAUCAGGUUUCACUAUCUUGCCAGAAAGUGUGAUUGACGUCAGCCUGUUACUGUGAUAAAGGCUGUAAACUCACAGGCUCAUAAAGUAAUUUCGUGUGGAAGGAGUCUUCAAAAGUCAUCUGGCCUAGACUUUGCUCAGAGUGGGCCCAGGCCAAAGGCUGCUGGGUGUUGUGCAGGGUCAGCAAGGGGAAGCCCAUGGCCAGUGCUAGCCAGGAAAUCCAACCAGAGAUUAUAACAACCCAUUCUUGCCUCAGAUAACUUAUGAAUCACUAAGAAAAGACUUUUGUCUUUCCAGUGUUGGGUGGGAGAAAAGUAAAACAACAUAGAACACACAAUCAGGAGGAGAAAUGGCUGUGGAGUUGGUGGAUAAGAGAUGCUUAUCCUUAAGUUACAGUCUUGAAGUAAAUAAAGAUGUAAGCUGUUUUCAGUGCUUUUUAAUUGGGAUGGAGAGGCUGCAACUGGCAGGGCUCUCUACUCUGAAACUGAGGUGUUGUGUGUCCAGACAGCCCCAGGAACUGAUGUGUGUUAAUGACCACUCACUACACACUCGUAGGUUUUCCAUGUGUAAUUUGCCCUACUCUUGCUGCUGAUCCUGGACUGCUUGUCUCUGGAUGAGCUGUCUGUGCCUGGCAUGGGCUCUCACCAGGACGUGUCUGGCUGCUGCACUGACCCCCAGAGAUUCCUGCCCUGCUUUCCAUUCCUCCUGGGCUGUGGUGUCAGCCCUGUGCCAGUGUCUGUGCAGAGACUACUCCAGGUUUGGCUCAGAACUGCUCUUUUGAGAUGAGUUAUGGAUGCACCCAUUCCUAGCAAGACAGCAUGACCACAGAGGAGACUUCAUGCAUGUGCUGGUUGAUCAUCACAGGUCUGCAGUCCAGUGCCACGGGAAGAGCACUGGGACUCCCUGGUCUUUAAACAGUGCUGGCUUAAGGGCUGUUUUAAGCACAGUUCAGGCUUAAGGACUAUGUGGUUCUUAAACAUGGAAAAGAAGCAAGCUGGUUGUGCAAGAGGCAACACUGAUGAGACCUCAAAAAACUAUUGCAGGACAUGAAAGAGGUGGGAAUGAGACAGUCUUGUCUAGCCACCUUAUGUCACUUAAUAAAAUACAUAUAUCCAUGUAGUGCAUGAGAUUGCAUCCAGAUUUUGUGGCUCCCAUCCAUGCUCACACAGCCUGAGUGCUGCCUGGUUCCUGGCUGUCCUCACCUAAUGGGGCUCACCAAGGUGUUACAGCACACUAGAUAACUUGAGCAACCUUAGGAUCAUCAUUAUUAAGCUGAACACUGAAAUUUGGAGAGAAGGUCAUCUGUCUCUUUCUCACUGACUCUUUUGUGUAGCAAACAACGAGGUUUGCAUGAGCAUCCUCUGACAUUUGAUAAUGCCAUCUCUGCAAAGUGUCAUUGUGUUGGAGAACAGGAGACAGACUGGACUAAAGGCGCAGGAGACUGAGGAAAGCAAGUAACAGAGCAUACAGGGGUCUUAAAUGAAGUCUGGGUGGGAUCUAGCUGGUCAAGUUUACCAUGAUAAUGGAUCAUAAUAGCUCAUCUUAUAGCUGUAAUUUUUUGAAGAUGAUCUUGGCUCCCAAACUCUGAAGAAAAUAUUUUCAUGAUGCCAAAAAUUCUCAGCAUUUGAUGGCUCUCCCUGACCUGGCUGAGUCACCUGUUCAGCUGCCUUUCUCCCUCUUGUGCAGUUUGGGGUGGAGGAGAAACAACACUUUCCUUCAUCUCAUCUUUGCCUUUAUCUUUUUUCUUUCUAUUUUUGUUUUGUUUUACCUGGGUUUGGGGAGAGGGAUGAGUUACAAGCUUAAAAAAUGCAGCCUGUGGCUGGGAGGGAGAGCAGGGAGCUUUCAUAUUGUAAUUACCUGGGUUGUGUUAUAGCUUUGUUGGUAUUUUGGCCAUAAACACACCACUCUCACUUAAAGCACAAAGACCGUGCUGAAAGUUAAUUUUUCUUGGCAGUAUGUGCUUAAAAACUAAAAGGUUUCUUUUUGUCAUGUGUUUAACGUAUCAGCUAAUUAGAAAGGAAUGUUAACAUAUGGCAUAACCACCAGCUGCAACAUAACAGCAAAGCUAAAUUUGGUACUAGUGAAGGGGCAUAACCCAAGCACCCAGACCAGCAGACAAUGGUUAGUGUUACCAAAAAGGGUUUGUGAUAUCAAAACAAGUAGGAACAGUUCAGCGGGCAGCUUGUAGAUUGACAUUAGGAUCAGAGGUGUAGACAGAAAUGAAAAAAUAAAAUAAAGUGACAGAACAGUUUUGAAAAUAGAUGACUGCAUGGAUUAGUUGCCUCAUGAAUUGAUGAAGUUAGUUUGAGUACCAGCUAGUGAAGAUGUACCAAUGAUUUUCAUGAGCCAUGACAACUUAUGGCUUAUGGGCUACAAUGGAGGAAAGUGCUGAAAAUGUGUUCAGUGCUGUGAGGAAUGGAUUCAAGAUGAUGUGAACUGGGAGUAUGUGGUGUGUUCUCAUCCCUGGAGGGGGAAGAAUAAAACAGUCUAAAACUGUUUUGGGAAUAGCAUCUCAACAUAGCUGCAAUGACACCACAAGAAAUAAAAUAUUAAUUGGAGAUCUUCCAAAGAUGAGAAAUUAUUGACCCAGAAACCCUGCUUCUUUCAAAGAGCAAUGAAAUUAGAGAAGUCCAUAGAGGUACUAGGAAUGGUAAAAGGAAAUUCUGCCAGCAGUGAACCUGACCGUGGGUCCUAAGCACUGAGUAUUAUAGCAGUGUACAAUGAGGCAAAACAAUGAUCUGGGUUAGAGUAUCUGGUGAUAUGAUUUUUUCAUCUAUGAAAGUCAAAGAGAGAAAGUAGCUCAACAUAGAGAAGGAGUAAAGCCUUCCUGAGGGGAAAAUAAGGGGGGAAAGUUUAAUGCAUGCAAAGGAAGUAAGAUGCCGCCUAACAUUAAGGAAGAAAUUAGUGGUUGAUGAGAAGAAUGAGGCACUAGACUCAAGCCUUCAGAGAAAAAAAUACGCCAAUUUUAUUGCUUGGGAAUGCAGACGUUGCGUGUGGUGGAUGACAGUAUCUGCUGGGAUGAGACAGUGUAAUGCUGUUACCAAACACUCUGAAUUAACAGGGUAUUUUUCUCAGGAUCCAGAUUUGUUAAAUGUCUGUAACUCCUUUAUUUUUAUGAGAUGUACUACACUCUGCCUUUUCUAGAAGACAUUUAUUAGACAGAGACUGUCAGUGGUCAGAACAAAUGUUUCCUUGAAGAUGAAUUUAUGAUAUUUUGGAUGUAGUCAGAUGAUAACUUUAGCUAAGUUGAGCAGGACUCAGGAGUCACUCCAGGCAGAUGUCAUUGAAAGAAACCCUCAGUAUUCAGUGAUGCAGCUCCACACAGAUCUGCCUUCCAGAAAAAUGCCAUCUCCCUUGCCUGAGAAACUGAAAUACUUAAAAUAGAUGGUGACUUAGGAACUGCAUGGGAACAAAAGUAGUUUUACUGUCACUGCCAGACCCAGUGCCUGAUCCUGCUGUGUCUCAAGGCCUGGCAGAGAUAAGAUCUUGACAUACACAGUCUGGGUUUUCAUGUCAAGAAAACUUUGAUUCCUUGUCCUGGAGGAAGCUAUGGUAUUAGCCAGUAAAGAAAAAUGGACCUAGUUUCAGUAG